rnacentral:lncRNA from 1 species
GGUAGGAAGGAAACUAGUGGUCUGAUCCUUGAACUAGAGGAGGUGAUAAACUAGGGGUCCUUAGACGCAAGCGCUGAAGGGUUCCCAAGUUUACACAUACACCCUCGAGUUGAAGAAAAAGAUCACAGCCAAGCCCUCGGGCGAGGCGGGUAAGGGUUGGCGGAACAGACAGGGUCGGACGAGACGGAACUGGGGUCGGGCGGAUAGGAGGGGUCGGGCGAGGCGGACUUAGGGUCGGCAACUCACCUUCUUCCUGAAAGGAAGGCUUGGGGUCGGGAAGAAGCGAACUUGGGCGGAAGGUCUAAAGCUUCGAGCAAGGCUAAGACCGGCAAUGCUCCGGCGGUGGCGCUGCUUCUUGCGGAUCACAAGAGAGCUCUACGCAGCACGGAGGAGCAAGCUGUUGGGUGACUUGGAGGAACUGAGAGAGAACUGAGAGAAGAACUUCUCAAGAACUGGGUGGGUGGCGCUAGGAGCUUGAGCAGGGAGCUAGAGAAGGCUAAAGGCAACAAAGGCGGAGGGAACUCCGGCGACGGGGGCAUUCCUUUUAUAGCUGCUGGAGCAGAGGAACGGAAACGUCACGGAGAGAGAGAAGGGGAGCGGCGCGAAGGCCGGGGAGAAGCAAUGGAGUGCUCUGCCGUGGCAGCGAUUGAGCAAGGAGGGCGGUGCUGCAGCACUCCGGGAGUGACGCCAGCGAUCAUUGCGCUCUGCCGUCAGGGCGGCGUAGGCGCGGGUAGACCGGUGGUUGGGAUUUGGUGGAAAGCGGGCGUCGUCGUGUGGAAGAGGUGAUAAAAGCGACCGGUUAAACGGCGCUAGGAUCGAGGGCGCACAGGUGAGAUGACAAGCGGACGCGGCGCGGGGGAGAGUGCGGAACAACAGAUUGUCGGGCGGCUUCUGACAGAGCGGGGAAAGGAACUGUCGCGGCCGCGGUCGGGGUUGGCGGUGGAGUAAUCGUCGUGUAGCGACGACCGAGCGGCGCAACUGUUGCUGAAAGGGACGGAAAAGACGGGCGACAUCGGGCUCUGGGGCCGGGAUCUGGUGGCGUGAUGAUGGGCGCGGGAGACGAGGUUCUGCAGGAAGGGGUGCAGAGGGCUUCCGCUGCCAUUGGGAAAAAGGGGCGCGGGAACCCACUCUGUUGCUUGCCAGAGACAAAACUGGGCGAUGGCGUCGGAGAAGACGAGCCACGCGGCAGGAAGACUCUGAGGCGGCCAUGCAACUCGAGUGCGGCUGGCGCAGGGGAUCUGGAAAAAGAUCUCGCGGGUCCACCGGGGGAUAGAUCAAACGGGUGAGGAAGAUCAGCAGGAUUCGACGGCGGGCUGAGCUCGCCGGGGUCGGAAGAGGAACGAAGCGGGAAGGGGUCGGAUCUCAGGGGUCGGGAUCGGCGGAAAAACUGGGCACUUAGGUGCGGUCAAACAAAACAGCUGACUAAGGUUAAGGGCUGAGAUCAAACCUAACUGGGAAAGGUUAGGGGUCGGUCGUUACAGCCUACCCCUCUUAAAAAAAAUCUCGUCCCGAGAUUCAAAGAUCAAGGGUGUGCUGCUCUUACCUCCUUGAUGGGAUAGAAAACCGGGGAAACGCUUGUUUAGAUAUUCGUCCGUUUCCCAUGUUGCUUCAUCUUCGGUGUGGUUUCUCCAGAGGAUCUUGUACAUCUUUACCACUUGGCGUCGGGUGUGCCUUUCCUUUUGGUCAAGAACUCGAUCUGGGUACUCGGCGUAGGUCAGGUCAGGCUCUACCUGAAGCUGUUCUUUUUCUAAGGUCUCUGCUGGAACUCAGACACAUUUCUUCAGUUGAGACACAUGGAAAACAUCAUGUAUGGCUGAUAGCUGUUCUGGGAGUUGGAUCCGGUAAGCAACGGGUCCACAUCUCUCCAAAAUCUCAUAAGGGCCAACAUAGCGGGGAGCUAGCUUGCCUUUUAUUCCAAACCGUUGCACUCCUUUGGUUGGGGAGACUCGAAGGUACACAUGAUCACCAAGGUCGAACUGCAGGGGUCUCCUCCGCUGGUCGGAGUAACUCUUCUGUCGAGAUUGGGCAGCCUUGAGAUUUGCCUGAAUUACCUUCACUUGCUCUUCGGCUUCUGCCACUAAGUCAGGGCCAUAAACCUGUCUCUCUCCUGGUUGGGACCAGUUCAAGGGUGUCCUGCAUCUCCGGCCGUACAGGGCCUCAAACGGUGCCAUCUUCAAACUGGCCUGAUAGCUGUUAUUGUAGGAGAACUCUGCUAAGGGCAGGCACUUGUCCCAGCUUUUAUCGUAGUGGAUAACACAAGCUCUCAACAUGUCUUCGAGGAUUUGGUUGACUCUCUCGGUUUGGCCAUCGGUUUGGGGAUGAUACAUUGAGCUUCGGAUGAGCUUGGUGCCCAUGGAUGUUUGUAAUUGCUCCCAAAAACGGGCUACAAACUGAACUCCUCGAUCAGAGAUGAUGGUUCUGGGUACACCAUGUAGGGAAACGAUACGGUCGAGGUACAACUCUGCAUAUCGCUUGACUGUGUAGGUGGUACGAACAGGAAAGAAAUGUGCUGUCUUGGUCAGACGGUCCACUAUAACCCAGAUGGAAUCAUACCGUUGAGUUGUAAGGGGUAACCCAACUAUGAAGUCCAUGCUGAUGUCUUCCCAUUUCCAAGAGGGAAUAGGUAGCGGCUGCAAGGUUCCUGCUACCUUCAAGUGACUGGCCUUGACACGUUGGCAGGUGUCACAUUCUGAAACAUAACGAGCUAUCUCUGGUUUCAUUCCACUCCACCAAAAGGUCUGACGGAGAUCAUGGUACAUCUUGUUGCUGCCAGGGUGGAUUGAGAACUUGGAAAGAUGAGCUUCAUCUAGGAGCUGCUUCCUCAACUCGGGGUCGGCGGGCACUACUAGUCGGUUUCCAUAAUACACACCUCCCGUUUGGUCCUGACGGAAAUGCUUAUAUCCUUCAUCCUUUACUGAGAUCUUACUGAGGACUCGUUUUAUUUCUUCAUCCUUAGCUUGUGCUGACCGAACUCGGUUCUCCAAAACUGAGUCAAGGAUGAUGUGAUCAAGGGUUCCAUGGGGAACAAUCUCCAAACUUAGUUUUCCCAUCUCGUGACACAGAGUGUUGGUGAAGGCUGUUGACAACAAGCAGUUGCAAUGGGGUUUGCGACUGAGGGCAUCGGCUACCACAUUGGCCUUGCCAGGGUGAUAGUGCACUUUCAACUCAUAGUCCUUUAUCAACUCCAGCCAUCUUCUCUGACGCAUGUUGAGGUCGGCUUGAGUGAAGAUGUACUUGAGGCUCUUGUGGUCGGUGUAGAUGUUGCAGUGAGCUCCCAUUAAGUAGUGCCUCCAUAUCUUCAAGGCAUGUAUCACUGCUGCCAACUCAAGGUCAUGGGUCGGGUAGUUUAGCUCAUGAGGUCGUAACGCACGUGAGGCAUAGGCAAUGACUCGGCUGUCUUGCAUAAGAACACAUCCGAGUCCAGUGCCAGAGGCGUCACAGUAUAUGUUAUACGGCCUAGAGGGGUCGGGUUGAGCCAAAACUGGGGCGGUGGUCAGCAAGUGCUUCAGGGUCUUGAAGGCCUCUUCACACUUGGUGUCCCACACAAACUUGACCUCUUUCUUCAGCAACUCGGUCAUCGGCUUAGCUAUCUUGGAGAAAUCCAGUAUGAAACACCGAUAGUAACCUGCAAGUCCAAGGAAACUCCGGAUCUGGUGUACCGAGGCAGGAGACUUCCAUUCCAUGACUUCUUGCACCUUACUGGGAUCCACGGCAAUACCGUCCUUGGAGAUAGUGUGCCCCAAAAACUUGACACUAUCUAACCAAAACUCACACUUGGAGAAUUUUGCAUAAAGCUGGUGAUCUCUCAGCCGUUGGAGAACUAUAUGAAGAUGGUUGGCAUGCUCCUCCUCAUUCUUCGAGUACACUAGGAUAUCAUCAAUGAACACCACUACAAACUUGUCCAGCUCGGGCAUAAACACCGAGUUCAUAAGGUACAUGAAGUAAGCGGGUGCAUUGGUGAGUCCAAAGGACAUGACUAGGUACUCAUACAGUCCGUAUCUGGUAGAGAAAGCUGUCUUGGGGAUGUCGCAAGGUCGAAUCUUGAUUUGGUGAUAACCAGAACGAAGAUCGAUCUUGGAGAACACUUUCGCUCCGGCUAACUGAUCGAACAAGACAUCAAUGCGUGGCAGUGGGUACUUGUUCUUGACUGUUACCGCAUUGAGGGGUCGGUAAUCCACACACAUCCGUAAACUGCCGUCCUUCUUCUUCACAAACAGGGCGGGGCAACCCCAAGAUGAUGUACUGGGUCGAAUGAAGCCCUUUUCCAACAGAUCAUGCAACUGGGUCUUCAACACGGCUAACUCCGCGGGUGGCAUCCGAUAGGGUCUCUUAGAUAUCGGGGCUGUGCCAGGAACCAACUCUAUGGAAAACUCAACUUCUCUAUCAGGUGGCAUACCCGGAAAAUCUUCUGGAAACACAUCUGGGUACUUACAGAUAACAGGGAGGUCUUCUAGACGGACUCCCAAGAGAGGGUACGCACAAGGAGUCGAAGACUCAGGAUGGGUCAAGGAUAGGGUAGAACUGCCAUGAGAGGGUGAGCUGAUGUAAAGAGAUCGGGCUGAUGUAUCUAAAACAACAUGAUGUCGGGCCAUCCAAUCCAUUCCAAGGAUGACAUCCAGGCCCUCUAGGUUAAGGAUGAUAAGGUUUUCCUUGAAGAGGGUGGGGCCUAGCUGGAGAGGUACAAGAAUAACGACAUGAUCCGACGUUAUCCUCCCUCCAGGAGUGGCGAUCACAUAGGGUUCCUUAGUGUGACCGACACUUAGCCCACAUCUUUCCCUUGCCUUACUCCCGAUAAAGCUAUGAGAGGCUCCCGAAUCAAACAACACAACAACAGCUUGAUUUAAAACAAGGAAAGUACCCUUCAUUACUGACGCACCUUCGGGAAGUUCGGUCAAGCUGGUGUAGUUGAGUCGGCCUUGUCGGACUUGCACCUUGGGCCUUCUUCCUCUGGCUGCCAUGGGGUUCUGGCCUUGCUGCUGAUUCUUGUUCCUGGGGCAGUCCUUUGCAAAAUGUCCCUCAUUGCCACAGGUAAAACAUCUGUUACUGGCUGCCGGGCGAGGUGGCGUUGGCAGGGUCGGCCGGGAUACUUGCGGUUGGAAGCUUGGAAACGAGGCGUUGUUGCCAGCGGGGGUCGGGCGAUCCAUUUCCCUGACUGUUGGGGUCGGCCAGGGGCUUGUGGAGGGAUCAUCCGGAACCUUCGGGUUGGCGGACUCGGAAAUGCCACAGAGGCUUUCCUCUUCUGGUCGGCCUUGAGAGCUUGCAUGCAGUCCUCCUGAGAGAUUGCCAGGUUGACCAACUCGUUAUAGGUGUCCACCCUGAUGGGGUUCAGCCUUUCCCUGAGCUCCAAGCUCAGUCCUCGGCGGAAUCUGUCCCGCUUCUUCUCAUCGGUGUCCGCAUGAUAGCCAGCAUAACGGCAUAGGUCAUUGAACGCCUGGGCGUAGUGCAGCACAUCCUGAGUUCCUUGGGUGAGGGCUAGAAACUCGUUGAGCUUGCGCUCCAGGAGACCUUUGGGAAUGUGAUGCGCCUUAAACGCCGUCUUGAACUCGUUCCAACUGACCACGUGACCAGCAGGUAGCAUGGCAUGGUAGUGGUCCCACCAAAGCCGUGCGGAACCACGCAGCUGCUGAGCUGCGAACCGCGCCUUGUUGUUGUCGGGGCAUGGAGCGGUGAGGAGCUCGAACUUGGAUUCGAUCGUACGAACCCAUGCAUCAGCGUCGAGCGGUUCUUGUGUCUUUUGGAACAGCGGGGGCUGCGUCCCCAGAAAGUCCUCGUACCGCGCGAUAUGCGGCUGCUGCUGUGCUCUACCACCAUGUGGCUGCUGUUGUCCUUGCACCAGAUGCCUGAGCAGCUCGGUUUGAGUUGCUAAGAUUGCCUCCAAUGGCGAUGGUGGCGGGGGCGGGGGAAGAUCCUGUCGCUGGUCACUACCACUGGGCACAGAUCCAGACCUGGUGCGGUGCGCCAUCUGCAAGAGUUAACGCCCCAUCAAUUUCAUAACCUCAGGUGUACUCCAACAAAUGGGAACGUAUGAAUUAAAUCCUUCAAUGCGACUCUUGCCAAUGGUGCAUCACACGUCCUCAUAGAGGAAGCACAUUCCUCCCAUUUUCAACAUAGAUAACCUCUACUUAUCCCGGUAUUCCACUUCAGGUACACAUGCCACAUACAGACUCCUAGAAUCUGAUCCACUCGAACCAAGGGGUCGGAUACGGUCCGUACUCGAAAAGGGUCGGACGAGGCGGUAACUGCCUCAAGGGCCGGCGCACUCUGGCUCGCAAAAAUAGGGUCGGCCAACUGAACAGGCUCCCCGAAAGCAGCAUAGGGUUACGGCACAACUUACUCCACCCUAGCAUCCACACCAUACGAAAAGGAUAAAACUAUGCACCGGUUGACUUUAUACACAACGAUGUUUCAACACAGGGAGUACUCAACUCAAGGCUAACCUAUUACAGCUUUCCAAAAACUAGGCUGCCGAGGAGUACAACAAAAGAAAGAAGGUUCCCUGAGAACCCUUAAGCUACCACUGGACACUGUGAGUCGGAGAAGGGGCGCCAUCUUCUUCUAUGUCCAUGCUGGACGCUCCCUCGUCUUCCUCAGGGUCCUCCUGAGCUUCGAGCUGCAUGUUAAGAGCAUGCAUAUCUUCAAGCUCAGCUUGGUGCUCCUCCAGGUGGGCAUAGGCGACGGCCAACUCCAUUUCCACCUCCAUCUUCUCCUCCGAGAGCUCUAUCAUGCCGUCCACGAGGUCGGCAACUUCUCCUUCUAGCUCGGAGAUCCGAUCUUGCAUAUCGUGGAUCUGGAUACCACGCUGGAUCAGCUGGUAGGUUUGGCCUACCAGGUCUCUUCUUGCUGCCUGGAGGUAACCGUGGGUAUCUGCAGCCGUCCGGGCAAAGAGAGUCAUGGCUCUUCCUUGGAGCUCUAUCAACCGGUAGAGAGCAGCCAUGCACCGGACGUUGGUGGAGAUGGUGACCAUAGCACAGGUAGUUGCCAACACCUCGAGGUUUCCGAUGCGGUCCAGCAAGGCCGGGUCCAGUCGACUCCUGACGGGAAAAAGACCGAUCGGGUCCAGCGUGAUCUCCACAGGGUGCAACUGACAGAACUGGGUGAGCAACUGAAGGGCGGCGGAUUCCCAUGUGUCUUCCGGAGAAAGACCAUAGGCUAUUAUGCCCAGAGAGGGCCAGUCGGGCCGUGCAAGGGGAGGUGGUACCAACGCUUACACCUGGCACGUCUGAAUGCCCUGUUCCAUAUACAACCGCCCAGCAUACAGGGGCGGGGACUGAUACCCAAACCACUUCAGCGUAUCCCACAGAAUCGCGGGAAACCCCUCGAAAUGCAGGCACGUUGAUUGGAAGGUACCGUCCGCUCCAAAAACCACAUGCCCGGGAACAGCCAUCUGGAACCAAGAAAACCGAAACCGCGUGAGAUAACUCCGAGGAUCAGGGGUCAGAUAGAGAAGCAGAAGGGCUUAACCGAGAGCAACUAAGAGAAACUAGAAAUCCUUAGAUCCAAAGAACUCUUUCGAACAGGGUUACUGUUGAGAAGAAAACAUUACAGAUUUUAGGUAUGACGCAUGCACGGCCUACCAUACUCUUAACCAAAAACAACUGCCCAGACUUUGGGUCUUACGCGGUCAGCGCCGGUGACAAGGCAACCAUACGUCUCUCCCUAUAUUAACUAGUCGGUUCUAGCAACGUCUUAACGAGCGCGGUUAGCAACCUGCAGAAAACACCGCACACGAACCUUUCGUGCCAGCACCCACGAAAGCGUUCCCAAACAUUACCGCUCACUAUAGGAACGGCACCCAUGCGUUUAAGGCUGCAUGGACAGCACUCAACCGUGGAAAUAGGUUCCUUCCGAAUAGAACCAUAUAACCCUUCGCAUACUCGUGAUGCGGCAUCGGCACACGUAUGACAAACGUGGCGAAACAACCGUGCCGAUAGGUUCAUUGGAAUCGAACCGUAUCAACCUUCGUAUGGAUCACAUACGAAACCUGCGCACGUAUAAUAGACGUGGGCGAAAACAACCGCGAAGAUAGGGUCCCUUGAAUGGACUCCCUAUCAACCCUCGCAUGCUCGCGAUGCGGAACUCGGCACACGUAUGAUAGACGUGGCGAAGUGCUGAUACUUAUUAGUCACCUAAAACAACCCCAAAAUCCCCUAGGGCCUCUCGCACUAAGUCAUCCUUAAUGAUCGUACGAGAUUUUCAAAAGGUUCUUGCAACUUUUACAUUUUCAAAGAAGUGUUUAGGGCUCAUUGGGUUCUCUGAUAUGCUAAACACGGCUCUGAUACCAGCUGUGGCGGAACCACCUCGGAUUAGCCUGAUUUAGCAGGGUUAAGCCGCCUAACAUACGACACUCCUGUCUAAACCGAACUAACACGAAGUGCCGUCGGAUUUCAUCCGAUUUAACCACUUAAAAAGGAUCGAGUCUAGCAAACCCACACGAAGGUGAGUGGUUACAGAGAAUACAACAAGUCCACUGAGUUAAGCAAGUCUUACUCAAUUAGUUCGGCCAUAAAAAAAAUUAACAUCAGAGUUUUACAGAGCUCAAAGAAAACGAUAGAGAAACACUAGCGGAAGACUUCGUCGGGGUCGGAUGUCUGGGCGAGGCCAACCAGAACAUUACUGAGUCCUCUCCUCGCCGUCCGAGGAGGGGUCCCACUCGACCGUCCAGCCUGGCGGGAGCUGGGGCGGCCAAGCACCAACCAGAGAGGGGUCGGACGCGGCAACUUCACCUGAAAACAGAAGCCACAAUAAGGCUGAGCUACUAAGCUCAACAAGACUUAACCGACAGGAGUAAGGACUACUCCUCCUUCUAGACAUGCAAGCUUUUUGGCUGAGGGGUUUGACUGCCAAAAGCACUAGUAACCUAAAUUCAAGUUUUAGCUCCGGUUCUAGGUUCAUUUACCAGUCUAGGUUGUGCAACCUAUUCUAAGCAAUCAUAGAGCCAAUCAAGAUGUAUAGAUAUAACAACAACAUUGCCAUCAUCAGAUUCCUCAUUUACUCAGGGUGACAUAGCGAUCAAGAAAUCUCAGACUGUGAGAGGCAGACGAAUCGAUUCGAGUUCUUUAACCAUGCAUGGUGAACCUAGCCUCACGACAUCCGCGCACCCGGAGGUCGCUUCCUGUGUCGGCCUUCCCCAUCAAUCCCCUAACCCGUGUCGGGCCCAUUUCCUUUGGUGCAAGGUUCCACAGACCCGGCCUCUGCCGUCCUGUGACCACGCUUGCCACCACGUGCGACAACCAGCAGGGGAAACUCCGUUCCAAGAACAAUGGGGCGACCGCUCACGUCUAGGUUCAAUCAGGUACUAGGCUUCCUCAUCCCAUGCUAAGUAUGAGGCUAGUACUUUCAAACACAUGAUCACGAACACCACCACUGUCGGGUCUUAGCAAGUUUUUAUAGACAGACGGGGCGACCAUCCGACCACCAAAAAGUUACCAAACCCUGCCCCGUCCAUCGUCCUUAUAGUUGUAACAGGAGAGUAAAUCAUGCAACUCCUACAACUCGCGAGUGACAGGAGAUCACUCGGCUUUUACCGUCUCCUAUUUAAGCAAUGCCACUACUCGGUCCAACAGCUAGUGCUCAUAUCAAAGGUUACCUAAGUCGUGCAUCUAGGGUUUCACACAACUCCUAUACGUAAAUGCACAAGCAUGCUAUACGGAAGGCAUGCGCAAGUUUGGUAAAACACAUAGGACUUUCAUGCAACCGGGGCAUGCCUUCAAGCAAGGAGGGCGGGAACUGCUCGACUUCUGGGGCGACUUCGGCUUCCGCGGGCAGGAACUCGGCUACAGCUUCUUCUUCUGGCGCCGGGUGCAACUCGUAGAAGCCGUCGGCGAGGUGCAGCUCUACACGAAUGCAAUGCAAGGGUUAGCUUAGACGGUUAUUUCAACAGCAACACUGGCUCGCCUGAGCCCAGAAACUUGCGACAAAGAGCAGGAGGUUAUGGUGGUUCGAGAGAGCUGAUGAUGAUUAAAAGGUAAGGGUAGGAAGGAAACUAGUGGUCUGAUCCUUGAACUAGAGGAGGUGAUAAACUAGGGGUCCUUAGACGCAAGCGCUGAAGGGUUCCCAAGUUUACACAUACACCCUCGAGUUGAAGAAAAAGAUCAUAGCCAAGCCCUCGGGCGAGGCGGGUAAGGGUCGGCGGAACAGACAGGGUCGGACGAGACGGAACUGGGGUCGGGCGGAUAGGAGGGGUCGGGCGAGGCGGACUUAGGGUCGGCAACUCACCUUCUUCCUGAAAGGAAGGCUUGGGGUCGGGAAGAAGCGAACUUGGGCGGAAGGUCUAAAGCUUCGAGCAAGGCUAAGACCGGCAAUGCUCCGGCGGCGGCGCUGCUUCUUGCGGAUCACAAGAGAGCUCUACGCAGCACGGAGGAGCAAGCUGCUGGGUGACUUGGAGGAACUGAGAGAGAACUGAGAGAAGAACUUCUCAAGAACUGGGUGGGUGGCACUAGGAGCUUGAGCAGGGAGCUAGAGAAGGCUAAAGGCAACAAAGGCGGAGGGAACUCCGGCGACGGGGGCAUUCCUUUUAUAGCUGCUGGAGCAGAGGAACGGAAACGUCGCGGAGAGAGAGAAGGGGAGCGGCGCGAAGGCCGGGGAGAAGCAAUGGAGUGCUCUGCCGUGGCGGCGAUUGAGCAAGGAGGGCGGUGCUGCAGCACUCCGGGAGUGACGCCAGCGAUCAUUGCGCUCUGCCGUCAGGGCGGCGUAGGCGCGGGUAGACCGGUGGUUGGGAUUUGGCGGAAAGCGAGCGUCGUCGUGUGGAAGAGGUGAUAGAAGCGACCGGUUAAAUGGCGCUAGGAUCGAGGGCGCACAGGUGAGAAGACAAGCGGACGCGGCGCGGGGGAGAGCGCGGAACAACAGAUUGUCGGGCGGCUUCUGACAGAGCGGGGAAAGGAACUGUCGCGGCCGCGGUCGGGGUUGGCGGUGGAGGAAUCGUCGUGUAGCGACGACCGGGCGGCGCAACUGUUGCUGAAAGGGACGGAAAAGACGGGCGACAUCGGGCUCUGGGGCCGGGAUCUGGUGGCGUGAUGAUGGGUGCGGGAGACGAGGUUCUGCAGGAAGGGGUGCAGAGGGCUUCCGCUGCCAUUGGGGAAAAGGGGCGCGGGAACCCACUCUGUUG